rnacentral:rRNA from 1 species
AUUGAACGCUGGCGGCAUGCCUUACACAUGCAAGUCGAACGGCAGCACGGGAGCAAUCCUGGUGGCGAGUGGCGAACGGGUGAGUAAUAUAUCGGAACGUGCCCAGUAGUGGGGGAUAGCCCGGCGAAAGCCGGAUUAAUACCGCAUGAGACCUGAGGGUGAAAGCGGGGAUCGCAAGACCUCGCGCUAUUGGAGCGGCCGAUAUCAGAUUAGCUAGUUGGUGGGGUAAAGGCCUACCAAGGCAACGAUCUGUAGUUGGUCUGAGAGGACGACCAGCCACACUGGGACUGAGACACGGCCCAGACUCCUACGGGAGGCAGCAGUGGGGAAUUUUGGACAAUGGGCGCAAGCCUGAUCCAGCAAUGCCGCGUGCAGGAAG